AUGUCCCCAAUGUCCCCAAUGUCCCCAAUGUCCCCCCAAUGUCCCCAAUGUCCCCAAUGUCCCCAAUCCCCCCAAUGUCCCCAAUCCCCCCAAUGUCCCCAAUGUCCCCAAUGUCCCCCCAAUGUCCCCAAUGUCCCCCCAAUGUCCCCAAUGUCCCCAAUGUCCCCAAUGUCCCCAAUCCCCCCAAUGUCCCCAAUGUCCCCAAUCCCCCCAAUGUCCCCAAUGUCCCCAAUGUCCCAAAUGUCCCCAAUGUCCCCCCAAUGUCCCCAAUGUCCCCAAUGUCCCCAAUCCCCCCAAUGUCCCCCAAUGUCCCCAAUGUCCCCAAUGUCCCCAAUCCCCCCAAUGUCCCCAAUGCCCCCCCCAAUAUCCCCAAUGUCCCCAAUGUCCCCAAUGUCCCCAAUGUCCCCCAAUGUCCCCAAUGUCCCCAAUCCCCCCAAUGUCCCCCAAUGUCCCCAAUGUCCCCAAUGUCCCCAAUCCCCCCAAUGUCCCCAAUGCCCCCCCAAUAUCCCCAAUGUCCCCAAUGUCCCCAAUGUCCCCAAUGUCCCCAAUGUCCCCAAUGUCCCCCAAUGUCCCCAAUGUCCCCAAUGCCCCCCCAAUGUCCCCAAUGUCCCCAAAUGUCCCCAAAUGUCCCUGACCUGUCUGGCUCUCAGGGCGCAGCCCAGGCUGGUGACACAGAGCACGGCGUGUGACAGGGCCACCCCGAUGUCCCCAACUGUCCCCAAGGCCACCCCGAUGUCCCCCAUGGCUUGGGGACACCUGUGGGGACAUCCAGAGGUCACAGUGUCCCCUCCUCCCCCCCCAAUGUCCCCAAGGCCACCCCGAUGUCCCCAAACCCCCCCAAUGUCCCCAAUCCCCCCCAAAUGUCCCCCCCAAUGUCCCCCCACUGUCCCCAAUGUCCCCAAAUCCCCCCGAUGUCCCCAAAUCCCCCCCCCAAUGUCCCCAAUGUCCCCAAACCGCCCCAAUGUCCCCCCAAUGUCCCCCCAAUGCCCCCCCAAUGUCCCCAAGGCCACCCCAAAUGUCCCCAAUGUCCCCAAUGUCCCCAAAUGUCCCCAAUGUCCCCAAUGUCCCCAAUGUCCCCCCAAUGUCCCCAAGGCCACCCCGAUGUCCCCAAAUGUCCCCAAUGUCCCCAAUGUCCCCAAUCCCCCCAAUGUCCCCCCAAUGUCCCCCCCAAUGUCCCCCAAAUGUCCCCAAGGCCACCCCAAUGUCCCCAAUGUCCCCCCCAAAAUGUCCCCCAAUGUCCCCAAUGUCCCCAAUGUCCCCAAACCCCCCCAAAUGUCCCCAAUGUCCCCCCCGGAUGUCCCCAAACCCCCCCAAAUGUCCCCAAUGUCCCCAAACCUCCGCAAUGUCCCCCCAAUGUCCCCAAACCCCCCCAAAUGUCCCCAAAUGUCCCCAAUGUCCCCCCGGUACCGGCACUUCCGGGUGCGGCCGAAACCCGGGAAGGGGCGUGGCCAA
rnacentral:lncRNA from 1 species